GGGGAAUUUUGGACAAUGGGGGGAACCCUGAUCCAGCAACGCCGCGUGAAUGAAGAAGGCCUUCGGGUUGUAAAGUUCUUUUGUCGCAGAGCAAAAGGUAGGUGCUAAUAUCACCUGCUGAUGAGAGUAUGCGAAGAAUAAGCACCGGCUAACUACGUGCCAGCAGCCGCGGUAAUACGUAGGGUGCGAGCGUUAAUCGGAAUUACUGGGCGUAAAGGGUGCGCAGGCGGAUGUUUAAGUUAGAAGUGAAAUCCCCGGGCUUAACCUGGGAAUUGCUUUUAAGACUAGGCAUCUAGAGUUUGUCAGAGGGGGGUGGAAUUCCAAGUGUAGCAGUGAAAUGCGUAGAGAUUUGGAGGAACACCAAUGGCGAAGGCAGCCCCCUGGGAUAAAACUGACGCUCAUGCACGAAAGCGUGGGUAGCAAAC
rnacentral:rRNA from 1 species